rnacentral:lncRNA from 1 species
ACACGGUGGCACAGUGACACGGUGGCACAGCACCACAGGGCAGCCAGCAGCUCACCAGAGCCCAGCUCCACCAAGCAAAACCAGGAUAUUUCUGCAGCAUUGGAGAAAAUUAAUGGACUGAUAAUAGAAGAAAUCUCCAGGUUUGGGGACUGGGAGGUUGAAGUGCCAAUCCUUGCUGGGCAACCCGAGAGCAGCUGGCAAGAGCCUUGCACAGAGCCUGUGUGACCCACUCUGAGCUGUCAGUCAGGAGCAAGAUGAGGGCUUCACUGGCAACGUGUUCUCAUCUCUCUCGAUGAGCAGCGCUAAAAUAGGAGACAGUAAAGGAUUGGUCCUGUCUGUUGGUGAGACUUCUCAGAAUCAGAGAUGUUUGGAUUCAAAUUCCAGCCUUUUAUUCCUGUCUAAGCCCCUCUGCUGCACAGACUGCAGUGAGCUACAGCUGCCAAGUUGUUUCUCGUGCUGUCACUACAGCAGUGGUGACACUUUGGUCUCAGCCCGACCUUGCAGCCUCACCUAA